rnacentral:tRNA from 1 species
GCCGAAGUGAUGGAAUUGGCAGACGUGCGAGACUCAAAAUCUCGUGGUGGCAACACCGUGUGGGUUCGAGUCCCACCUUCGGCA